rnacentral:lncRNA from 10 species
CUGCUCUGUCGGGUGACAGGCUGUAAGUGCGAGUCAGCAUCUGCUGGGUGGAUGACACCCCUCCCUUCUGACCCCAGAGCAGGGACGCGCUCACCCAACUGCGGAGCAUCUGGAAGGUUAUUAGAAGCAGCAGUGGAGCAGUGGCCUUAGGAAACACCCAGAACAGCCCCGUGUGUGUGUAUGUGUGUGUGUGUGUGUGUGCAUAUGUGUGUGUGUAUGCACGUGCACUUGUGCACAGAAGCUAUAACAUUGUAAGUCUGGGAGACUGCAUAUGCUCAGAGCUGCCUCUUAAGAACUCCAGACGACGCUUCACAGUCUUAAAGCAGAGGAAGGCCACAGGGUCUCAGUUGUGCUGUUCAUUCUCCCUCAGAGAACAUUCUCCCUGGAGAUGGACAGCCUGCCCAGGGUACCUGAAGCCUGAACCACUGGAGAGACCAUGGUCUUCUUACCAGCCUUUCACCUCUGAUAAAAGUUUCAAACAAAGCUGGGAGUUUGUUGACUUGUGAAGGCCAGGUGAUCUGUGGACGAUCUCAGGUCAACAGAGCUGAAGAAUGGCAGCAGUUCAGUAAAGGGACAAAGGCCACCAAAGGGAGAGGGGUCGGCAGACUUCUAUAAAGGGCCAGCGGGGAAAUAUUUUCAGCUUUUCAAGCUAAACAGUCUGUUGCCACGUCUCAAAUCUGCAGUUGCAGCGCAAAAGCAACCAUAGAUAAUAUGUAACGAACAAAUGUGGCUGUGUUCCAUUAAAACUUUAUUUUGGGGCACUGAAAUUUGAAUUUCGUAUAAUUAUCACAUGUCAUGAAAUAUUAUUCUUCUUCUCAUUUCCC